AAAGGAAAUUCGCCUGUACGUUGGAGAGAACGAUAAAAAAAUGACCGAAAAAGUAGCCGAACCUGGUGAGCCUGUCGAUGUCCUGGCUCUGUGAAAGUGCUUCGCACAUGCACGAUAUUUGUUCCGGUGUAAAAUUGUUGUUGGAGUUCGAAGUGCACGAAGAAAGUUCCGGCGAAUACUGAGGACUUCCAGGUGCAGCGGCAUUUGCAUUACACGAAGUUAAAUUUUGUGGAUUAUGAUGAUGAUGAUGAUGGUGAAGCGGAAGUCCCGUCAUUGCGGAGGAUCCGUUAUUCUACGCCACUUUUUCGUUUUGGGUUCAAACCAUCGUCGAGGCGACGAGCUUCCCCAUUGGUAGCAAGGCGGGAUCUACGAUCUUCUCAUUGGACGAUAUAGGGGUGGCCACAACCCUCUCGUAAUAUACACCCCUUGCUGUAUACCUAUGUACAAUCGAAUCCCCUCUCAGCUAGAUGGAGGUGGAGGAGAGGAGAGGAGGAAAAUGAGGGGAAAAUAGAAGAUGAGGGAGGAAGUUACAUCGCCAAUCCUCUUUCUCCCUUUCUCCGCACACAUACAAUCCACACCAC
rnacentral:lncRNA from 1 species